AGUUUGAUCAUGGCUCAGGAUGAACGCUAGCGGCAGGCUUAAUACAUGCAAGUCGAACGGGAUUCAGGGUAGCAAUACUUUGAUGAGAGUGGCGCACGGGUGCGUAACGCGUAUGCAACCUACCUUUAACAGGGGAAUAGCCCCGAGAAAUCGGGAUUAAUACUCCGUAACAUUGCGGGAUGGCAUCAUUCUGCAAUUAAAGAUUUAUCGGUUAAAGAUGGGCAUGCGUGACAUUAGCUUGUUGGUGAGGUAACGGCUCACCAAGGCAACGAUGUCUAGGGGUCCUGAGAGGGUUAUCCCCCACACUGGUACUGAGACACGGACCAGACUCCUACGGGAGGCAGCAGUAAGGAAUAUUGGUCAAUGGGCGCAAGCCUGAACCAGCCAUGCCGCGUGCAGGAAGACGGCCCUAUGGGUUGUAAACUGCUUUUGUCAGGGAAUAAACCUGUCUACGUGUAGACAGCUGAAGGUACCUGAAGAAUAAGCAUCGGCUAACUCCGUG
rnacentral:rRNA from 1 species